GAUGAACGCUGGCGGCGUGCCUAAUACAUGCAAGUCGAGCGGAUAGACGAGGCUUUUGCUCCUCUUCCGCUACCGGCGGGCGGGUGAGGAACACGUGUAUAACCUACCUAUAAGACUGGGAUCACUACGGGAAAGCGAAUAUAACAUCGGAUCAUAUAUUGAACCGCAUGGUUCAUUAGUGAAAGACGUUUUUGCUGUCACUUGUAGAGGUUUCCGGGCCGCAUGAGCUAGGUGGUAAGGUGACGGCUUCCCGAGGCUACUAUGCGUAGACGACCUGAGAGGGUGGUCGUCCAAACUGGAACUGGGACACGGUCCCGACUCCUUCGGGAGGCAGCAGUAGGGAAUCUUUCGCAAUGGGCGAAAGCCUGACGGCACACAGCCGCGUGAGUUAAAAAGGUCUUCGGAUCGUAAAACCAUUUUAUUUGGGAAGAACAAGUGUGUAAUUAACUCUGCACUGCUUGACGGUACCUAAUAAGAAAGCCACCGCUAACUACGUG
rnacentral:rRNA from 1 species